UACAGAGGUGGCAAGCGUUGUUCGGAAUUACUGGGCGUAAAGGGCGCGUAGGCGGCCUUCUAAGUCAGACGUGAAAUCCCCCGGCUUAACCUGGGAACUGCGUCUGAUACUGGAUGGCUUGAGUUUGGGAGAGGGAUGCGGAAUUCCAGGUGUAGCGGUGAAAUGCGUAGAUAUCUGGAGGAACACCGGUGGCGAAGGCGGCAUCCUGGACCAAUACUGACACUGAGGAGCGAAAGCCAGGGGAGCAAACGGG
rnacentral:rRNA from 1 species